UACUUUGAACUCCCACAGAAACAGUUAUUGACUGUGAUGAGGAAGAACAAGUCAUAGACUGUGAUGAGGAAGAACAAGUUGUUGACUGUGAUGAGGAAGACGGGAGCAUACAAGAGGAACACUGUUCAUCUACUGUUGACGAACCUUCAGUCGAGGUGGUACUUGCUCCAACCGGGAGGAAUAUAUCUCCAGCACCCAAGAGAAACAAACCAUCAGAUGAGCAGAUGCCUUCAGGAGCCAGUGCUAUGAGGCCACCUCGCAAAGGUAAAACUGCCCAGAAGAAAACCCCCUGGCAGCAGGCAGAGGUGCAGGCGGUGGAAAGGCACCUGAAGACAUUCAUCAUAUCUGGCACUGU